rnacentral:snoRNA from 1 species
UGGACGGAUGAUGUUGACUGAUGGCCUAUGAGUCAUGGAUGUUGAAAACCACGUGUCUGAAUCUCUGAGGGCCAA